rnacentral:rRNA from 1 species
UACGUAGGUGGCAAGCGUUGUCCGGAUUUACUGGGUGUAAAGGGCGUGUAGCCGGGUUGACAAGUCAGAUGUGAAAUCCUGCGGCUUAACCGCAGAACUGCAUUUGAAACUGUUGAUCUUGAGUACUGGAGAGGCAGACGGAAUUCCUAGUGUAGCGGUGAAAUGCGUAGAUAUUAGGAGGAACACCAGUGGCGAAGGCGGUCUGCUGGAUAGCAACUGACGGUGAGGCGCGAAAGCGUGGGGAGCAAACAGG